rnacentral:lncRNA from 10 species
AUGUGCCCUCCUAAUAGUAAAGAACAACUCCCAUCUUCCUGUAAAGGUGAGAGGAGUGAAGCAUGGAAGGCUUCCUGGAGGAGAGUGCAAUUUUGCUUGGCCUGGAUAAACUGGGGGAGCCAAAUUUCCAAAAUCAGAAAUAACAAGAAACAGAGACUAUGGACCUCUGGUGGGAAAGUCCAGGACUGGUCAGCCUCUGAGCCUGUAACAUGGAGAGAGUGGAAUCAGAACAAACUGUCCGGAACAACCAGACAAUAACAGUCAGCAGCAAGAUGAACUGGGCAGUCAAAAAUAAACUCCAGGAAUGAAGAGAUUGUGGGAGUGCUACUCAAGUGCCUUAUGUCUGGUGUAAAAACAUGGAUCUGAAGGUAAUUUAAGGCCAUGUCUAUCUGUAAAACAGGAGAGAGAUAGGACUCGUGGAC